AUUAGGAAUGCAUGUUAAUAUUCCUAACACUAUAUUCUUUUAAUAAUAGUGAAUGUUUCUGAUAACCUCACCAAAAGGAGUUCUCUCCUGAGUUAAGACUAAGCUCUGCCCAUUUCACUGAUGUCAGAAUUUACUUGUUUCACUCUAAGCUUUUCCUUUUUAACUAAAACUACUAAGUUUUGGUGUUCGUUUCUGCUGGUUUUCAAUAGAAGUUCUAACUUACCUAAUAUUGCACAUCAUUAUUAUAUAUACCUCACCUCUGGAGCCAUGUAUCCCAAUGUGCCGGCGCAUUCUGUAGCCAUUUUGUCACCAAACAUAUUUUCUAACGCAAGACCGAAAUCAGCAAUUUUAAUAUUACCGUUGUUAUCCAAUAAAAUAUUCUCUGGCUUCAGGUCUCUGUAAAGAUCACAAAACAUUCAAGUGAGCAACAAAACCUUUUAGAAAGAAUUGAGAAUGAAAAAUUAGAAAAGAUAAGACGUACAUUACAUGGAGGGACAAAAAAGCUUCAACCCAGAUAAAAGAGAAAAAAAUUACAUAUAUAAUGAAUUACUACUGUAGUUACCUAUGGAUAAUUCCAUGUUCAUGGAGGAAUUGCAGCCCACAUACCAGUUGAGCUGCAAUGAAUCUGGUAGAAAGGAAAUAAU